rnacentral:rRNA from 1 species
GACGAACCGUGCGAACGUUGUUCGGAAUCACUGGGCUUAAAGGGCGCGUAGGCGGGCCACCAAGUUCGGGGUGAAAUCCUCCGGCUCAACCGGAGAACGGCCUGGGAUACUGGGGGCCUAGAGGCGGGUAGGGGCGUGCGGAACUCUGGGUGGAGCGGUGAAAUGCGUUGAUAUCCAGAGGAACUCCGGUGGCGAAGGCGGCACGCUGGACCCGAUCUGACGCUGAGGCGCGAAAGCCAGGGGAGCGAACGGG